CUUGGUUGAACGUAGGAAGCAAAGCACGGGCGUUCUAGUUCCGCUUCUCUCCACAUCCAACACGUCUUUUGUUUCGUAGAGAGCCAUGGAUUGUCACACUGAGGGGGAGUGCAGCAGACCCCAGGAGGAGGAGGAGGACAUCAUGGACAUCCCCCUCGACGACCCUGAAGCCAACAAGGCCGCCGCCAAAAUCCAGGCCGGCUUCCGCGGCCACAUGACCCGCAAGAAGAUGAAGCCGGAGGAGAAGGCCGAAGGGGAGGAGAGACAGGAGGAGCGGGGGCAGUAGAGGGAGACGACAACACAUCUGUACCAGAGCAGUGACACCCCUCCCCCCACCCCCCAAACUCCCCGCAGCCCCACCCACCCACCCUCCAACACCCUCCAACACCCCACCCCACCUGUCCCCGUCUCGAAGGAAGGAAGACUGAAGGAGGAAGGGGGUAGGAGGAGGCUUGCCAGCGUGGGGGAGAGGAAGUUGGCUGGUACAAGCCUAGCAGGGGCUAUAGGCUGCUACUAUUAGGCACGCAACCUUUUUACCCAAGGAAUCACCACUUUGUAUGUACUAUAUAUUAUACACAGAUAAGCAGUAGUUAACCUAUGUUAUUCUCUUCAGGCAGAUUUUAAGGGUGUGUCGACUUGUGUGUGUGUGUGUGUUGUGCAUUUUGUGUGUGAAGUUGCUCGCUCCUCUGCUGCUGGUGCGUCCCGGUUCCUCGGUGUGGCUGUCUUUGACCCAGAUUGUGUGCAACGCGCUGCUGCAUGUGCUCGUGAAACUUCUGGUCGUGUGCUAGUUUUUAGUUUUGACGGCCCGUGGAUGUGUAAAUGAAUGUCUUCUGAAUUGCUAAACAGGGCUAGUUAUGGAUGAAAAUAGUUCCUGUCAUCUGUAAUAAAAAAAAAAAUGAAGAAAAGAUAGGAGAAAUACCUUUAAUAAGCCAUGAUAAGGUUCUGCAUUAUUAAUUAAUUAUUAUUUGUUUGGACUUGUUUGCCUUGCUUUUAUUGCUUGUGUUCAUUGAUAAAAGCUACACAAUUGUGAUUGUACUCAUUAUCAAGACAGAGGUAGCUAUAUGUAUAAAAUAUUAUCCUAUCUAUUCUUGCUUAAGUUAUACGAUUUUGGUUUUGACUUACAUCAAUGAUCAUUUUGAAUACAGAUCAAACACCAGUUCUCUGUUGACAGUAUUUUCUACAAAUCUGAUCUUCCAAAGCAGUAAGCAUGCAGUAAUAAUCUUUUCUUUCAAAUGUUCUUAGUCUAGCUUAAGCUAUAAAAAUUCGAUGAAUUCACUCUAUUCUUGUUUACAUGGGUUUAAGUUGUCAACCACAUUUCUAACCAAUAAUACAUUGUCAGUUAUCCAAGGAUGUAAAGUCAGUUAUAUGAUCAUGCGUAAGACUUAAAACUUUGCUUCAACCUGCUGUAAAAUCAUGCGGCUCCUUUAAUAAAUACAUACCAUAC